rnacentral:rRNA from 1 species
UGUCCUAUUAGCUAGUUGGUGAGGUAAUGGCUCACCAAGGCUACGAUGGGUAGGGGUUCUUAGUGGAAGGUCCCCCACACUGGCACUGAGAUACGGGCCAUACUCCUACGGGAGGCAGCAGUAGGGAAUAUUGGUCAAUGGGCGCAAGCCUGAACCAGCCAUGCCGCGUGCAGGAUGAAGGCUCUAUGAGUUGUAAACUGCUUUUGUACAGGAGCAAAAAAAUCCCUGAGGGGGUUCUUGAGAGUACUGUAAGAAUAAGCACCGGCUAAUUCCGUGCCAGCAGCCGCGGUAAUACGGAAGGUGCAAGCGUUAUCCGGUUUUAUUGGGUUUAAAGGGUGCGUAGGCGGCUUAUUAAGUCAGUUGUGAAAUCCUAGUGCUUAACGCUAGAACUGCAAUUGAUACUAUU